rnacentral:rRNA from 1 species
UACGUAGGGGGCAAGCGUUGUCCGGAUUUAUUGGGCGUAAAGAGCGUGUAGGCGGUCAGGUAGGUCCGUUGUGAAAACUCGAGGCUCAACCUCGAGACGCCGAUGGAAACCAUCUGACUAGAGUCCGGAAGAGGAGAGUGGAAUUCCUGGUGUAGCGGUGAAAUGCGCAGAUAUCAGGAAGAACACCCGUGGCUAAGGCGGCUCUCUAGUAGCGGUACUGACGCUGAGACGGCGAAAAGCGUGGGGAGCGAACAGG